rnacentral:rRNA from 1 species
UACGAAGGGGGCUAGCGUUGCUCGGAAUCACUGGGCGUAAAGAGCGCGCAGGCGGUCGUUCAAGUCGAGUGUGAAAGCCCCCGGCUCAACUGGGGAGGGUCACUCGAUACUGAUCGACUCGAAGGCAGGAGAGGGAUGCAGAAUUCCAGGUGUAGCGGUGAAAUGCGUAGAUAUCUGGAGGAAUACCGGUGGCGAAGGCGGCAUCCUGGACCGGCAUUGACGCUGAGGAGCGAAAGCUAGGGGAGCAAACGGG